UCUGUGGUGAUGAGACGCGCAGGGGUACGGACCUCAGCCGAUGAUGGGGGCUGAGUGCUGCUGCUCCGCUCUGAUUGGAGGACGUGUGGUUCACCGGUCAGGGCGCCAGCAGCACGAGACAGACGCCACACUGAACAGA
ensembl:snoRNA small nucleolar RNA SNORD94